GAUGAACGCUGGCGGCGUGCCUAAUACAUGCAAGUCGAGCGAACAGACGAGGAGCUUGCUCCUCUGACGUUAGCGGCGGACGGGUGAGUAACACGUGGAUAACCUACCUAUAAGACUGGGAUAACUUCGGGAAACCGGAGCUAAUACCGGAUAAUAUAUUGAACCGCAUGGUUCAAUAGUGUAAGACGGUUUUGCUGUCACUUAUAGAUGGAUCCGCGCCGCAUUAGCUAGUUGGUAAGGUAACGGCUUACCAAGGCAACGAUGCGUAGCCGACCUGAGAGGGUGAUCGGCCACACUGGAACUGAGACACGGUCCAGACUCCUACGGGAGGCAGCAGUAGGGAAUCUUCCGCAAUGGGCGAAAGCCUGACGGAGCAACGCCGCGUGAGUGAUGAAGGUCUUCGGAUCGUAAAACUCUGUUAUUAGGGAAGAACAAAUGUGUAAGUAACUAUGCACGUCUUGACGGUACCUAAUCAGAAAGCCACGGCUAACUAUGUG
rnacentral:rRNA from 1 species